GUGGGGAAUAUUGGACAAUGGGGGGAACCCUGAUCCAGCCAUGCCGCGUGUGUGAAGAAGGCCUUUUGGUUGUAAAGCACUUUAAGCGAGGAGGAGGCUACCGAGAUUAAUACUCUUGGAUAGUGGACGUUACUCGCAGAAUAAGCACCGGCUAACUCUGUGCCAGCAGCCGCGGUAAUACAGAGGGUGCAAGCGUUAAUCGGAUUUACUGGGCGUAAAGCGCGCGUAGGUGGCCAAGUAAGUCAAAUGUGAAAUCCCCGAGCUUAACUUGGGAAUUGCAUUCGAUACUGGUUGGCUAGAGUAUGGGAGAGGAUGGUAGAAUUCAAGGUGUAGCGGUGAAAUGCGUAGAGAUCUGGAGGAAUACCGAUGGCGAAGGCAGCCAUCUGGCCUAAUACUGACACUGAGGUGCGAAAGCAUGGGGAGCAAACAGGAUUAGAAACCCCAGUAGUCC
rnacentral:rRNA from 1 species